AGAGUUUGAUCCUGGCUCAGAUUGAACGCUGGCGUCAGGCUUAACACAUGCAAGUCGAGCGGUAACAGGAGAAGCUUGCUUCUCGCUGACGAGCGGCGGACGGGUGAGUAAUACUUAGGAAUCUACCUAGUAGUGCGGGGAUACGCUCGGGGAAACUCGAAUUAAUACCGCAUACGGACCUACGGGAGAAAGGGGCCAACUUGUUGCUCUCGCUAUUAGAUGAGCCUAAGUCGGAUUAGCUAGAUGGUGGGGUAAAGGCCUACCAUGGCGACGAUCUGUAGCUGGUCUGAGAGGAUGAUCAGCCACACCGGGACUGAGACACGGCCCGGACUCCUACGGGAGGGGCCAGCAGGGAUGGGGAAUAUUUGGACAAUGGGGGCAACCCUGAUCCAGCCAUGCCGCGUGUGUGAACGAAGGCCUUUUAGGUUGUAAAGCACUUUAAGCAGUGAAGAGAGACUCCAUGGUUAAAUACCCAUGAACGAUGACGAUUAGCUGCCAGAAUAAGCACCGCUUCGUGUAUUCUUGUUCGCCCACACCCCCGGUAUACAGAGGGGGGGUGCAAGGCUUUUAAUCGGAAUACUGGGCGUAAAGCGAGGCGUUAAGUGGCUUGAUUAAGUUCCAAAGGAUGUGAAAGCCCCGGGCUUAAACCCUGGGAACGGAAUCUGAAUACCCUUGUUACGCUUAAAAGUAAGCGUGAACGAAGGGGAACGCGUUACGAAAAUUCCCCAGGGCUGUUAACGGUGAAAUUGCGAAAAACUUGCCGUGGAGGAAUACUCGGAUGGGCCGAAGGGGAAUGCCUUUCGGGCUUCAGUACUGACACUAAGGUGCGAAACCUUGGGUAGGCAAACAGGAUUGAAUAACCCCUGGAAGUCCCCCCCGUUAAACGAUGUCUUAACUUAUUCUUUGGGGUUCCAGCCUUGAGGGACAUUUAGAUGACGCAGCUUAACGCAAUAAGUAGACCGCCUGGGGAGUACGGCCGCAAGGUUAAAACUCAAAUGAAUUGACGGGGGCCCGCACAAGCGGUGGAGCAUGUGGUUUAAUUCGAUGCAACGCGAAGAACCUUACCUGGUCUUGACAUAUCUAGAAUCCUGCAGAGAUGCGGGAGUGCCUUCGGGAAUUAGAAUACAGGUGCUGCAUGGCUGUCGUCAGCUCGGUGUCGUGAGAUGUUGGGUUAAGGUCCCGCAAACGAGCGCAAACACCUUGUCCUUAGUUACCAGCGGUUUGGCCGGGGAACUCUAAGUGAUACUGCCAAGUGACCAAACUGGAGGAAGGCCGGGGAACGAACCGUUCAAGGUUCAUCAUUGGGCCCCUUUACGACCAGGGGCUACACACACCGUGCUAACCAAUGGGUUCAGGGUACCACGCAAGGGCGAGCUAACACCGAGCGAUGUUGAAUGCGAAAUUCUCAAAAAAGCCUAUUCGUAGUCCAGCAUUGGAGAUUCUUGCACACUCGCACAUUCCAU
rnacentral:rRNA from 1 species